CUCGUGCCGUGAGGUGUUGGGUUAAGUMCCCUWACGAGCGCAACCCCUGGGGUCCGUUACAUACUCUCUCGGGCCCGACUGCCGCGCGCAACGCGGAGGAAGGCGGGGAUGACGUCAAGUCAGCACGGCCCUUACGUCCGGGGCCACACACACGCUACAAUGGCCGGUACAGCGGGUUGCGAAGCCGCGAGGCGGAGCCAAUCCCAANAAAGCCGGUCNCCAGUUCGGAUUGCAGGCUGCAACCCGCCUGCAUGAAGCCGGAGUUG
rnacentral:rRNA from 1 species